rnacentral:rRNA from 1 species
AUUGAACGCUGGCGGCAGGCUUAACACAUGCAAGUCGAGCGGGGGAAGGUAGCUUGCUACCGGACCUAGCGGCGGACGGGUGAGUAAUGCUUAGGAAUCUGCCUAUUAGUGGGGGACAACAUCUCGAAAGGGAUGCUAAUACCGCAUACGUCCUACGGGAGAAAGUAGGGGAUCUUCGGACCUUGCGCUAAUAGAUGAGCCUAAGUCAGAUUAGCUAGUUGGUGGGGUAAAGGCCUACGAAGGCGACGAUCUGUAGCGGGUCUGAGAGGAUGAUCCGCCACACUGGGACGGAGACACGGCCCAGACUCCUACGGGAGGCAGCAGUGGGGAAUAUUGGACAAUGGGGGGAACCCUGAUCCAGCCAUGCCGCGUGUGUGAAGAAGGCCUUAUGGUUGUAAAGCACUUUAAGCGAGGAGGAGGCUACUUUAGUUAAUACCUAGAGAUAGUGGACGUUACUCGCAGAAUAAGCACCGGCUAACUCUGUGCCAGCAGCCGCAGUAA